rnacentral:sRNA from 1 species
CAAGGUUUCCGUAGAACAAGUCUGCAGGAACGAUUCCUUCCGCAGUGUACACUUGUAGAAGCUUUGCAGCCACGCAAGUGGUAGAUCCAAGCGACUUUAAAUAAUUUCAGGAUCGCUAUGCAAGUCGGCCCACGCAUGUGGUGCCGGCGACACUUUCGAAUUGACGGGGACACCCUAAAGCCUGUCGCACCAACUCUGUGCGGGAAACCGCUUGAGGGCCCGUGCUAACUACACGGGGCGGUAAUAGACGACAUGGAUACUUCCACGCCUCUGGUGUGGAUACUAUGGGCAAUCCGCAGCGAAGCCUCUAAGUCCGGCCGCCGGGUAUGAGGAACGUUCACAGACUAAGUGGAAGUGGGUGGGGCGUUUGCCGCUCUGCUUAAGAUAUAGUCGGUCCCCUUGAGAAACCAAGGGGGUGAGUACACUGGUUGAAAUCUAAACACGAACGCUCGUGUUAGAAUUUCGAGACUGUCAAUUGCCUCGCGGUUUGACAGCUCUUAAGACGUUCCGUAGGUGAACCUGCGGAAGGAUCAUUACAGAAAGUAAACGCGGGUCAAACCGCGAACUUCUAAACCUUUGACGAUUGACUCAUGUUGCCUCGGUGGGUUCGCCCGCCAGAGGAUACAUCAAAACUCCUGUUUUAACGGUGUUGUCUGAGCUACAAGCAACGAAUCAAAACUUUCAACAACGGAUCUCUUGGUUCUGGCAUCGAUGAAGAACGCAGCGAAAUGCGAUAAGUAGUGUGAAUUGCAGAAUUCAGUGAAUCAUCGAAUCUUUGAACGCACAUUGCGCCCCUUGGUAUCCCGAGGGGCAUGCCUGUUCGAGCGUCAUUUCACCCCUCAAGCCUGGCUUGGUGUUGGGUGACGUCCUCUUUGGGGACGCGCCUCAAAACGCUCGGCGGCGUGGCACCGGCUUUAAGCGUAGCAGAAUCUUAUCUUUCGCUUUGAAAGUCGGGGCCACAUCUGCCGGAAGA